GGCCUGAUGGUCUAGUGGUAUGAUUGUCGCUUCGGGUUCUCCGCAUGUCCUGCAGACAUGCCUGUAUGUGACAGGCCCCGGGUUCGAAUCCCGGUCAGGCCC